rnacentral:rRNA from 1 species
UACGGGGGGAGCAAGCGUUGUUCGGAUUUACUGGGACGUAAAGGGCGCGUAGGCGGUCGUGACAAGUCACUUGUGAAAUCUCCGGGCUUAACUCGGAAACGGUCAAGUGAUACUGUCGGACUAGAGUACAGAAGGGGCAACUGGAAUUCUCGGUGUAGCGGUGAAAUGCGCAGAUAUCAGGAAGAACACCAGUGGCGAAGGCGGCUCACUGGUCCGAUACUGACGCUGAGGUGCGAAAGCGUGGGGAGCAAACAGG